CCUACGGGUGGCAGCAGUGAGGAAUAUUGGUCAAUGGACGGAAGUCUGAACCAGCCACGCCGCGUGCAGGAAGACGGCUCUAUGAGUUGUAACCUGCUUUUGUACAAGGGUAAACCUGAAUACGUGUAUUCAGCUGAAAGUACUGUACGAAUAAGGAUCGGCUAACUCCGUGCCAGCAGCCGCGGUAAUACGGAGGAUCCAAGCGUUAUCCGGAUUUAGUGGGUUUAAAGGGUGCGUAGGCGGAUUGAUAAGUUAGAGGUGAAAUGUCCGGGCUGAACUCGGGAACUGCCUCUAAUACUGUUGGUCUAGAGAAUAGAUGCGGUAGGCGGAAUGUAUGGUGUAGCGGUGAAAUGCUUAGAGAUCAUACAGAACACCGAUUGCGAAGGCAGCUUACCAAUCUAUAUCUGACGUUGAGGCACGAAAGCGUGGGGAGCAAACAGGAUUAGAUACCCCAGUAGUC
rnacentral:rRNA from 1 species